rnacentral:lncRNA from 1 species
UGAUAUCUCACACUCCCUCUCCCAAGGCUCCAUCCCUCUCUCUCUCUCGGUUCACGCGCAGACACAUACUCACACAACAAGCGGCGCGGCUCUCCGGCGACAACAGCUGCCGGAAAUCGCCCCAUCUCCAUCUGAUCUCUCUCUAUUCGGCUGGUAACAGCCGCCCGUUUCUUCUUCUCUCCCUCAAACGUCCGUGGCCGAGCAGUAGCAGCCAUGGCCGCCGAGCUCUGCCUUCCUCCGCUGAACUCCGGCUGCCACGACCAGUAGCUGGUCGCCGCCCCUUCUCACCCUCUCUCUCUCCGUCCUCGGCCCGACAUCAGCGGGCAGAGCCGCCGUGCAGCGGCCUCCUCUCUCUCUCA